GAGAAUGAUGGAUAUUGGGAAAUGGAUAUGGAAAUCAUGCUAGCAUCUUCCGUUGUGCUCGUUUAUUUUCAGGUUGUUGAUUCUUCUUCCCGGCGAUAAGCAAACAGAUGGAUCCUGUCCGAGGCUUCAACAUGAAGUAACCCCUCACCAACAUACGCUUGCUCACUGUGUCCUCAGUUACGGCACGCCAGCUUCUUGGUCAUGACGGCCACCAGCAUGGCGGUACAGGCCACACCCUAUGGACAAACACAAAGACAGCCACACCAACGUCACCAUGGUUACCACCAUCGCCAUUUGACAUCCUCCUCGUGUCCCCUUGUGACCCGUAAGAGCGGGAGUCAGUCGGAAUUCACAAAAUGAUCAUGUCAACAUUCAAAAUCAGCCCUAUAGCUUCAGGUUUGUUUGGCCAACAUCAAGAUAGACAUCGCAAUUUAUUUUCAAGAAGUUAUGACAUAGUUGUGACUUGCUAUAACUUGUACAAAUAUGGUGGGCCUAUUAUGCCUAUUUCGCCUAAUAAUACCAGUUACACUGAAUUGACCUUAUGUUUAUGUGAGAGUGAAAUGGUUAAUCAUAUGCCACUGUGCCACUGAUAUAGUAGGAUGGUUUACUCUGAGAAUAGUAAACCAUAAGGUCAACAUUGUGCUAUUGCUGGAUAGGGAACAACUAAAUGCUGACGUAUGCUCAGGAACCCCACAGAGUGAAUAUGUCAUGUUCUAACCAUAGUUCUUUUGUGUUUUCUUUGUUUUAGUGUUGGUCAGGACGUGAGCUGAGUGGGCAUUCUAUGUUGUGUGUCUAGUUUUCCCAUUUCUAUGUUUGGCCUGAUAUGGUUCUCAAUCAGAGGCAGGUGUUAGUCAUUGUCUCUGAUUGGGAACCAUAUUUAGGUAGCCUGUUUUGUGUUGGGUUUUGUGGGUGGUUGUUUCUUGUCUUCUGUCUUUGUGUCUAUGCACCAGAUAGGACUGUUUUGGUUUUUCACAUUUGUUGUUUUGGGUUUUUGUAGUGUUCACGUUUAUGGUCUUUAUUAAACAUGUUGAACUCUAA